rnacentral:rRNA from 1 species
UACGUAGGGUGCGAGCGUUAAUCGGAUUUACUGGGCGUAAAGGGGGCGUAGGCGGCCGUGUAAGUCCGGUGUGAAAUGCCACGGCUCAACCGUGGAACUGCGCUGGAAACUACACGGCUUGAGGACGGUAGAGGGAGACGGAACUGCUGGUGUAGGGGUGAAAUCCGUAGAUAUCAGCAGGAACGCCGGUGGGGAAGCCGGUCUCCUGGGCCGCUCCUGACGCUGAGGCCCGAAAGCUAGGGGAGCAAACCGG